GACAAAGCAGACAGCUAAGAACUGACGUGAAAUUCGGCAUCGCUCUCGGGAAUAUGUACCCGUAUGUUAUUUCAGCUUGGUAGCCUGGUGUAGCAGCAGCUGGGCACGGCCUGGGUAUACGGCGUGGUGGUGGUGGUGAUGGUGGUAGUGUGGUUGGCUUAGCGUGUGGUAGAGACAGUCCCCUCGGAGGUUUCACGCCCGCAACCCAUGAGCGGACGCCCAUUCCCCACUUGCCUUUGCUACAAUGGCCACUUGUCGACGUAAGGUUGAGGUGUUGGUGGUAUUGUUGCUGACAUUAGUGCCUCGUCCUGGCCCUCUGGAACCCCGACCUCCUUGUAUACGAGAUAAAGCGGCCCUGGUCAGGAAGCUGGUCAACAAG
rnacentral:lncRNA from 1 species